rnacentral:lncRNA from 1 species
AUGUGGUAUGAUUGCCAAUGAGACAACAAUCCACAAAAGACCAAAAUGACACAGACAUUAACAACUAUAGGUCACCGUACGGCCUUCAACAAUGAGCAAAGCCCAUACCGCAAAGUCAGCUAUAAAAGGCCUCGAUAAGACAAUGUAAAACAAUUCAAACGAGAAAACUAACGGCCUUAUUUAUGUAAAAAAAAAUGAACGAAAAACAAAUAUGUAACACAUAAACAAACGACAACCACUGAAUUACAGGCUUCUGACUUGGGACAGGCAAAUGAAUAAAUAAUGUGGCGGGGUUAAACAUGUUAGCGGGAUCCCAACCCUCCCCCUAACCUGGGACAGUGGUAUAACAGUACAACAUAAGAACGAACUAUAAAAAUCAGUUGAAAAAGGC